ensembl:lncRNA
CGUGUCCUUCAGCAAGUUCACAGUCAAUGCCAAAUUUGGAGAAGUAGUCUCACAGGGCAGGGCCUUGGACAGACAUCAACAGGCUGGAAAAAUGGCCCAACAAGAACCAUACAGAGUUCAAAAGCAAAAAAAUACAGGUUGAAGGAUUGAAGAACCUCAUAUUCCAGGACUGACAGGAAGGCGACUUGGGAGAAACAGAUCUCAGCGUCCUGGUGGGCAGCAAACUGAACGUGUCAGCAAUACACCCUUGCAGCAAAGGACCCUGGGCUGUACUAACAGUAUAGCCAGCAGAUGAAGGGAAGUGCUUCUUCCCUUCUGUUUGGUUUAUGGGAGACCACAUCCAGAGUGUUACGUUCAGUCUGGGGUUUGUUCUAAGCAUUGAUGUACAAAAGUGAGUCCACAGAGAUUCACCAUGACGAUCAGGGGCUGGAGUACAUUAUGUAGAUGGGGAGGCCAAACAAAUUGAGACUUAAAGGGCUUGGAGGAGAUCUUGGUGCAGUCUCCAACUACCUGCCAGGAUGGUACAGAGCGCAGAGCCAGCCUGCCCUCAGAGGUGCACAAUAAUAGAAUAAGACGAAACUCACAAAAGGUGCAACACAAAAAAAUUUCAACUGUCUAUUAUGAAAAAUGUUUUACCUUGAGGAGGGCCACAAAAAUAAUCCAAGAGAUGGAACACCUGUCCUAUGAGGACAGGCUGAAAGAGCUGGGGCUGUUCAGCCUGGAGAAGAGAAGGCAAACCUGAGAGCAGCCUUUCAGUAUCUGAAGGGGAGUUACAGGAAAGAGGGGGACGGACUCCUUAGCGGAGUCUAUGGCUUUAAAGUCCCUUCCUACUCUAAGGAUUCUAUGAUUCUAUGAGGAUGGUCAAACACUCAAACAGAUUGCUCAGGGAAGUGGUGGCAUCUUCACCCUUGGAGAUGUUUAGCAAUCAACUGGCCGAAGCCCUGAGCAAUCUGUUAUAAUUGGAGCUGCCUUUACAUUGGACCAGAUGAUUGCUUUUCAGAAUUCCUUUCCAACCUAGAUUUCUCCUUGGUAGCAUUUCUAAAU